AAGUCGUAACAAGGUUUCCGUAGGUGAACCUGCGGAAGGAUCAUUAACGAAUAUCUAUGGCGUUGGUUGUAGCUGGCUCCUAGGAGCAUUUGUGCACGCCCGUCAUUCAUAUCAUCUUUCCACCUGUGAACUAUGUGUAGAUCUGGAUACCUCUCGCUUUGUAACGAAGCGGAUGCAAGGAUUGCUGUGUCGACAAGGCCGGCUCUCUUUGAAUUUCCAGGUCUAUGUCUUUUUACACACCCCAUUUGAAUGAUGUAGAAUGUAGUCAAUGGGCUUUCAAGCCUAUAAAACACUAUACAACUUUCAGCAACGGAUCUCUUGGCUCUC
rnacentral:misc_RNA from 1 species